rnacentral:rRNA from 1 species
UUGAACGCUGGCGGCAUGCCUUACACAUGCAAGUCGAACGUGAAAGCGGGGCAACCCGCAAGUAGAGUGGCGGACGGGUGAGUAAUACAUCGGAACGUGUCCAGUAAUGGGGGAUAACCUAGCGAAAGUUAGGCUAAUACCGCAUACGAUCUGCGGAUGAAAGCGGGGGAUGCGGCACUAAAGGCUUUUGGCGAAGGUGGCCAAAGGUGAGUCAAGAGCUUUUAGUGCUGCACCUCGCGUUAUUGGAGCGGCUGAUGUCUGAUUAGCUAGUUGGUGAGGUAAAGGCUUACCAAGGCGACGAUCAGUAGCUGGUCUGAGAGGACGGCCAGCCACACUGGGACUGAGACACGGCCCAGACUCCUACGGGAGGCAGCAGUGGGGAAUUUUGGACAAUGGGGGCAACCCUGAUCCAGCCAUGUCGCGUGAGUGAAGAAGGCCUUCGGUUGUAA